AUUGAACGCUGGCGGCAGGCCUAACACAUGCAAGUCGAGCGAGCGGCGGCCGGGAGAGUAAUGUAUGGGGCCUGCCCGGUAGGGGGGGAUAAAUACUGUAAGCGGUGGCUAAUCCCGUAUACUCACGGAUACCCCAUAUGGGAUUAGCUUGGAGGUGGGGGAAAGGCUCACCUAGGCGACGCUCUCUAGCUGGUCUGAGAGGAUGAGCAGCCACACUGGAACUGAGACACGGCCUAGACUCCUACGGAGGCAGCAGUGGGGAAUAUUGCACAAUGGGCGCAAGCCUGAGGCAGCCAUGCCGCGUGUAUGAAGAAGGCCUUAGGGUGGUAAAGUACUUUCAGCGGGGAGGCGUUACCCGCAGAAGAAGCACCGGCUAACUCCGUGCCAGCAGCCGCGGUAAUAC
rnacentral:rRNA from 1 species